UACGUAGGGUGCGAGCGUUGUCCGGAAUUAUUGGGCGUAAAGCGCACGUAGGCGGUUUGUUAAGUCGGAUGUGAAAUCCCUCGGCUCAACUGAGGAAGUGCAUCCGAAACUGGCAGGCUUGAGUACUAAAGAGGGUCGCGGAAUUCCCGGUGUAGAGGUGAAAUUCGUAGAUAUCGGGAGGAACACCGGUGGCGAAGGCGGCGACCUGGGUAGAUACUGACGCUGAGGUGCGAAAGCGUGGGGAGCAAACAGGG
rnacentral:rRNA from 1 species